GGAUAGCUCAGCCGGUAGAGCAUGAGACUCUUAAUGUCAGGGUCCUUGGUUUGAGCCUCAUGUUGGGCA